GGAACCAUGGUUAUAGUCAUAACCUGAGAAGGAUACAUCUAUGCUGCCUUCAAAAAUCCAUCAAAUAAAGGUAUCUCAGGAGACUGGAAGUGAAGCUAACAUUGGAUUUGGACAUGCCUUCCUACCUUGGAAUGCAUCCUCUGAAGGCAACAUUUUUAAGCUUUCGGGUGCAGGCUAGGUGUGUUCGCUGCGCAGACUGAUCGGUGUAUGACAUCAAAGUACCGCAAGAGCGAUUCAAAAGUAUACGGAGCCGUCUUCUCUCUAAUCGCUCUCGCGGUACUUUGAUGUCAUAACCCGAUCGGUCUGCGCAGCGUCGCUUCAGGUUAAACACGCCUAUUGUCUUGUUUCCUUGUUAUCAGUUCUGUCUUUUCAUUGGUUCAUGUUUAUUAGUUAUACUAAGUCAUUGGUUGUUGUUGUCAUGUGCUUCCCCAUGUUCAUGCAUUUAAGCCCUUUAAUGUUUACCGAGUUUCCUUGUCAUGUAUUGUUUGUGUAACCUGCUGUCGGUGAGUCUUGUGCUACCAAGUCAAGUCAAGUCAUUGUUUAUUUUGUAUUUGUUUCAUUCAAUGAACUGGGAUCAUUACACUCACCUACAGUGGACUUUUUUAAACUGUAUUUUAAAUCAAAUACACACAAUUAAAUAAUAUUUUCACUAUUUUUGCAUAAGCAUAGCAGCAUUUGCAUAGACACAAUUAUACCUUUAAAUUAGAAAUUACACUUUAUAAAAAAAUUCAGUGAUAUUUACCUUUAUCUCAAGCAUGAUUUUCACUGUUGUCUCCUUGGCUAACAAGUACAUUUGUUGUUUACCAACAUUGUUGUGAAAAUGACACCCCAAAUGUGGGACAGUUCUAAUUGUUAAAAAAAUGGAUAUAAAUAUUUUUUACACAGUAAAUAUUGGUGGUUUGUUUGUGGUUCUCUUUGUUUAGAUCAGGGUAUAUGGGAAUAGUUCCCUUCCGUGAUGAAGUUAAAGGUGGCAAUGGAAAUGCCUGUUCAGUGCUGUCUUCUCCCCAUAAGUCAAUUAAUGAUCCAGUUUCAUGGUUGCUCCAUCCAUGUGUUUCAUCCAUGCUUGCUUACUCACCUGUGGAUUGUGGGGCUCCCAAACCUCCAUAUGCUGGCAUUAGUUUAUUUAACAACAAACAGAUGCAUUUAUACUUUCUCAAAAUGUAUCUUAUGUGCAUUUCGAACCACCUCUGAGGUCCUGAAUUCAUUCUGGAGGACAUUUACAAUUUCAGUUUUCAUGAUCAGAUAAUUAUCCAGUAAAAACAUUAACCCACAGUUAGUGUAAAAAUUCGCAGUCGCAUUAGCAGAUGGGAAACAGGCCAGCUGAAAAGAACACAUUAAACCAGGCCGGGGUGAGUUGCUGAUGAUUUAACUGGUCUCCAAGCCUGAUCUGCUGAAAAGUUUCCAACAUGCCUCUAAAACCAAUCCAAUCCCCCCAGGGUUAUGAGAGGUAUACUGUGCUUCUUAUCACAUGAGGUAUCAUAGUGCAAAGAAAAAGCUUCUGCCAGUGAAUUCUGAAACAAUAUAUUCUGACACCUUUUGACACAUAGUAAAUAUACAUGCGAACAGAUUCGAUCUAAUACAUCAAAUGAACUGCCUACCCUUUCUCAAGAUAAGGAGACAUGUAGUAAAAUUUUAUGUCAGACAAGUUGAAAGGCAGACAUUAAAACAGAAAUCUCAAUGCAGGGUAUCCAAAGAUUAAAUGAAAGGUUAGUUUCUUUUUUUAAUUUAAGACUGCCUUUAAAGAAGGAGAUAUAUCGCACUGAAAUAUCACAUUUUGUUACUGAAUGAUAUCCCAAAUCCCAGUUUAAUAUACUGUAAAUGUUGGACUUUGUCUUAAUUGUCUCUCUUAAAGAAAUGAAAAUGGACACAAAUGAGACUUGCACCUUGACAUGCAUGAGUUCCUACUGAGAUUUAUGACACUGAAAUUUGUUGAGAUCUUUUCUGAAACAGGUAACAGGAGACUCUAUUCAGUUUAGGAGAAACAACAGAUAUAUUAUGGCAAUUUAAUUUUUGAUGAUCUGACAGCUAUAGAAGCCAUGCAUUUUUUUUUUUUUCUUAUCAUGAUUACAGCUUAACCUUCUUGUGAUCUCAGCAUAACAAAAGUUAUGCUUUUCAAAUGCAGUUGCACAUUACUUGUGUGAAAAUAAGGUUGAGAUUCUGAGAAAACAACUUUUGUUAUGUCGAGAUCACAGGAAAAUUGUUAACGUUAAAACACAAUGGAACAAAAAUAAUACUGCAUAGCUUUUAAGGGCUUCCAUAUAUAGCCAUUUAAUUCUCAAUUAUUAUUUUAUGGCAUGACACCCCAGGUAAAUAGAGUAAACUAGAUAUCACCGUACCUCACCAGCUGAUUUAUUAUAUUCAGAAUCGUGAAUCACAAACAGUUUUAGUAUUACAAGUUUUCUGAAAUUAAAGUGAGGCAUUAUCAAAUUAAAUAUGCACUAAUUUGCAUCAAUUUCCAGAACAGAAAUCUGAACAUUGGAUAAAGCCAGGUUCAAAAUCGUUUCAUUUUUGUGAAAUAGUGGAGUUGAAUGUUUUUACAGUGGGGAUUUUGGAUAUGUCUUUUUUUUUAUCAUUCCAUAAAUCAGAAAAUAUUGUCAACUGGCAGAAAAAAGUUUUUAGGAAUAAAAUGUAUAAAAUCAGGUGCAUAAUAAAUAUAUAAACCCUUCUGAAAAAACUUAUAGAUAUUUAAAGGUGCUGUAUGUAUGUUUUUGACUGUACUAAAGCAUAAAAAUACCAUAAUAUGCUUCAGAUAUUUAGGAAACAUGCUGAGUUCACAUACUCGUUUCUUUGAAAACCAAUGCUACAGCCAGUUAUUUUACUUUGAAAUGUGCGCUCCGUGUCGGAAUGUCUGUUUUUGUUUUGGUCUGUGCAAGACAGCACAUUACCAAUUUACCCAAUAGUAUUUCGCCUCCCCGGGUUGCCAGUUGGCGGAAAACACAUGCAGCGAAUUGCAGCCUUGGAAGCCAGCGAACAAACUGGGUCAGAGAUCGCAGAUUCUACCGACCUUAAAAGCCUCAGCAUCCAUCUAAAAACCUCUAUGAAAGGGAGCAUAUUAAAACACGAUAUCAACUCAUCAUAAAUCAAUAAAUCAACUAAUCAACUUACAGUGAGUAAGUCUCCUUGCCUUCCAGUGUCAACUGAGCUCGCUCCUGUUGCGUGUCUUCAAACUGGCAACCUGUGUGAGCAUUGAGUCUGAGGAGGAGGGGGCGGGGGCGGGGCAAACAAUAUUUUGAAUUUGGACUGCAGUACCCAUUUCAACCAUUAGCUGUCAUUCCUACAUACCGCACCUUUAAGUGUUAUUGAAGUGGAGAUGUCUGUUUCAGUGCAUGAGAAAAAUCUCAUUUUGAGAAAACAGCCUUGUAUUGUAAUUGAAAUCUAUGGAAGCUUGUACAAAUAAAAAAUAAAACAUGUAAUUGCGACUUAUCUCACAAUUCUGACUUUUUUUCUCAGAAAUGUGAGAUAUAAACUCACAAUUGCGAGAAAUAAAGUCAGAAUUCUGACUUUUUUUUCCUCGCAGUUCUGACUUUCUUUCUCAGAAUUGCAAGUUUAUGUCUCACAAUUCUGAUUUUAUAACUCGCAAUUGCCUGUUGCAAGAUAUAAACUCACAAUUCUUAGAAAAAAAGUCAGAAUUGCAAGUACAUAUCUUGCAAUUCUAAAAGAUAAAAAGUCGCAAUUAUACCUUUUUUUAUUUUUUAUUCAGAGCCAGAAACAAGCUUCCAUAGACAUCUACAGACGCAAAUAGAUAAAGUGCAAUAAAAUAAACAUUUAAAGGUGUAUUUUGGAUGCUUUCUUUCCACUAGUCUGAAACAACAUGUUAUGAUAAGCCAAAUAGCCCAAAAUUUCAAAAUUGACCAGUGCAUGAAAAAAAUUAUUAUUAUUUUUUUUUCCUGUAGUGUCUUGUCUUAAACCAAAUAUAAGGACUUAUGUGUAAGUAAAACUACAACUAUAAUAAAGGCAUAAUAAAAUAAAAUGAAAUAAAAAAGCAACAACAAACAGCCUUGACUUCUUGAACCUCUGGUGUUCGAGACUGUCUUGAUCUCACAGUGAGGUGUGAUUGAGUGCAGCACAACAGUCACACUGCAGGUGAGAUCUGCAACAAGUACAGUAUAGUCAAUGCCCUCAGGUGUGUGCACCUUUCCUCCCACCUCAGACAAACAGAACUCUUCUGGUGCUAAUUGAAACACUAAAUCUAGAUAGAAUGCAUUUCUAACCCAGUUUUCUCUCAGUGUCUGGGGAAUUAUGUGUAUCACUUCUUUCACUGAAAUCCCAGUAGCCUUUUCGUUCUCUCACUCUAUAGUAUCUUAUGACGUUUACACCUUAGAAAAUGUAAAAGAAAGUAGCAAGAAUAAUUUUAACUCCCAUCUGUGGUGACAAAACAUAUGUCACUGGCAUAUGACAGAUUAACACUUCUAAGUCAAAAGACUCAACAGAAGUUAUGCGACACAUGCCAUCUUUAAAUAUCUGCUGAAGAAUUGCAUUUAAUGUUAAAGCAGGUGUGAACCUCCUGCUCUCAUUUUCACUUAUUUAAAAUUAUGAUUUAGAGUAGUAGUUUGAAAUCCAGGGACAGACAUGUUAAUGUGCCAAGUAUUUGGGAUGCCAUUGGAUAUUAUUUAUCUGUCUGUUUCUUGAUGCUAAUGCCAAAUGGACACUCUUUCUAAUUAGCGGUGUCGGCUAUCCCGCUGCCAAGACAAUAACCCAUACAGAAGAGCUAAAUGACUUUCAGCAUGGCACCGCCAUAGUAUGCCACUUUUCCAACGAGUAAUUUUGUUACAUUUCUGCCUUGCCAGAGCUGCCUGGGUCAACCGUAAGUGCAGUUAUUGAGAAUUGGACACAUCUACAAGCAGCAACAGCUGUGAAGUAUUAGGCCGCAUUAGCUUACAGAACGGACAAAUCACAGCUCGGAUACUGGAAAUGGGAUUCCAGUGGAAUAUCACCAUGAACCACUGAAUGAUUUGGCUGGAGUGUUUUGUAAAACACAAAACAUUCUCUAAAGUAUGGUUUUCUGGCACACAAAUGAAGGUUUGCAAUUACCAGGAGAUGCUCAUCACCCAAAUGUGGUGUGCCAACUGUUAAACUUUGUUGAUGAUGAAUGAUGGACUUUUUUUCUGCAUAGUCGGAGGGCUUUUAGGUUCAUUUCAAGUUUCCAGUAUUGUGGAAGAUUUUUUUUUUUUUUUUUUUUUUUGAUGAUUCAUUCUUGUUUCAGCAUGGUAAUGAUCAAGUUCAGAGGUCUUUAUAGAACAUGGAUAGUUAAAAUUAGCAAGGGAAAGCCUGACUGGCCUGGUGGGAGUCGUGACCUUAACCCAAUCAACUGCAUGUUGGAUGAAUUGGAGCUCAAAAUGGCAAGCUAGCUAUAAUUGGCCAACAUCAGUGCUCUGAUAUGAUCUUCUGGUUCAAUGAAGGUCAUGGUUUUAUAUAGCAUGGUAAAGAUAUUCUUUGAGCUGCCAUCUACUUGUGGUUCUCAACCAGGGGGAUGGUGUCCAUUAGUGGGCCUCAGCAAACUCAAGAUUUGCAACAAGUACAGUAUAGUCACAGUAUAGUGUUCCCAGUUUUCUUUGGCUUUGUUCAUCUGUUAACAUAGUUUUUGAUUUGCCCUUAUGUGUCACACCUGUGUUAGUUUUGCAUUGCCAGACCUUUAAACUGACGGCAGAAGGACUGGACUCCAGCAGCUUUCAUUGGCCAAAGACCGCCGAGAGGCUGUCUGACUUACAGCCCGGAACACACCAAACCGACGCUGACGAACUAGUUACGACGAAAGCAGACUGCGGAGUUGGCUCACGUCAGCAGUGUCUGGGUCCAAAAUUGCCCUGACACACCAAACCGACGCUCGACACCCGAAGGCCAAGUAGCAUGUCCGUUCUGCGCCUACGUAAGAAGAAAUUCCUUUCCGUACCAGCAGGUGGCAGUAGCUGAACAGCCGAUCAGAAUGAUCAGAUGGCCUGACUGACUGACGAGCUCUGACGGCGAUUCAACAUGUCGAAUCAGCCAGAAAAAAAGCCGACGAGGACCAACUUCAGCCGACGGUGCGGAACACACUGAGAAAACUUAGUCGGCCAACGAACAAAAACUGCCCGACGGCCGACCGUCGGCUUGAUGUGUUCCAGGCUUAUAACAGACCAAUGUGUAAAACUCUUAGAUGUUUUUUAAAGAGUAUAUGCCACAAACUUUACAUACUUGACAUACUUUUGAAAAUCCAGCAUUAAAAUAAGCCAAAACAACUAAAAAUCAAGAUAUGUCUUAUCUGAAUUCACAUCUUAACAAGAGUCUUGAAAAACCUGGAUAUAAAAAGUGUGAUUUUCAAAGUGUGAUUUCUAGACCUGAAAAAGUCAUGUAAAUUAAUAAAAUAGUAAAACUCCA